ensembl:lncRNA
AAUAAAUUAGUAAAAUAAAAUAAAAUAAGAGGAAAGUGUAAUAUCUUCCACUUAUUCAAUAUGUAAAUUGUGUGUGUGUGUGUGUGUGUGUGUGUGUGUGUCUGUGUGUGUGUGUGUGUGUGUGUGUGUGUCAAUUUACGCAACCCCGAGUUGCCCCACGAGGACUUGGCAGCAAAUGAAGUACAAAAAUAUAGUUUAAACAGCAAAUCGAAAAAAUGCAGAGGCCCGGCAGACUGGAGGGGGUCCACCACCUGCAGCCCUCAGAGGCUGAGGAGAUGGCCCUCAGCCAACAGAGUAUGCGUCCUGUGGCUGAGGGCAUCCCUGGGGGGAGCUCCUCUGAUCCCCCCCACCCCCCAGGAUAGAAGUGCCUUUACAGUAUAAGAGUUACUGAUGGUGUCAUCGCCCUACUUGAACCAGAUGCCCUCACCAACCUCCAUGCAAUUGUAACAAUUCAAAAGAUGCAAAAGGAUGCUUUGGAGAUCCAAAUUUUGGAACAUAAGUUAUAGGAAAUAAAAAAAUCCUCAUAAUAAGUAGAUUGUCUUUAUUAGAACACGGGCUGUGGUGG